CUUAGUUGUGGGUAGUUGUCUGUGUUAGUGGCCUCUAGAGCCAUAGUCAGCUUCACGGUCGUUUUUGGUGUUUCUUGUUUUGUUGGCGACAUUCUUAAUAAAGGAUAAUGUACGCUCACCACGCUGCACCUUGGUCCGGUCAUUUCCCUGAAGAUGUUCGUGACAGAGAUGAAAAGCACACAUUUGUAAAUCCCGAACUAUAGAAGUAAUUUGAAAGGUAGAUACAUAUGAUUUGUGACAUUGUUGUUACAAUAACGAAUGUAAACAAGAUGCUGUAUUUUUAUUUUCAGUACUGAUGGACAGCUGAUGGCAUUUUGAAAACAGGUUUUCAAACACUUGUAGCCCGAUUAGCAGGACAAUAGACUCUUUAUAGCCCGGCUACUGUAGGUGUGAAGUCACACCUUUCCAGUCCUCCUCACCUUGCCCCAAACUCCACCCUUCAGUUAACAUUCAAAAACAAGCUGUUUAUCUAAAAAAAAAUGACAUUGCGACCAAAGAGAACAGACAAAAUUACCAUUGUUUUCAUCAUGCCAGCUUCUUUCUAUGUUGCUACCCAUUCCAGGUUUAGGACCAUAACCACGAGAGGACUUGAAAAUGAGCCGGAGCUGAAAGGAUCACCAAAACUAAAGGCCACUGUAAUCGAUGGGGGCUCAGGGCAGUAUCAUUCUGCUCAAAUGAUGAAGGUGCACAUGGAUCAGAGCCAAACUUUGAACACCGGGAUUGAGUCAUUGAAGGCAGACCAGCAGAAAGAGAAACAUUAUCUGAGGGCAGAGAUACGGGUGGAGAGUCUGGCGGAGAAUUAGACUUUGAAGAGGGCGAUGAACGAGAUGGAGUCACAAUCCAUGCCAGGCACACCUGUGAGCUCUGGAACUCCACCUCCAACAGGCAGAGUCAACAUAUCUGGUGGGUUCAUCAGUUCGUCGGUUCACCCUGACAUUUCCAUUCCUCUUCUGACGACAGAACUUGACCAACUGCUCACCAGGUACAGCAAGGGCCGUCCGGGCCAUUAUGCUGUUCUGCUAUAGUCGAAUAAACAAAUGCAGGUGGCUUAUACAGUGGGGAGAACAAGUAUUUGAUACUUAUGUCAUGCAAUAAAAUGCUAAUUAAUUAUAUAAAAAUCAUACAAUGUGAUAUUCUGGAUUUUUCUUUUAGAUUCCGUCUCUCACAGUUGAAGUGUACCUAUGAUAAAAAUUACAGACCUCUACAUGCUUUGUAAGUAGGAAAACCUGCAAAAUAGGCAGUGUAUCAAAUACUUGUUCUCCCCACUGUAUCUUCAAAAUGCUUUAAAUGCAUUAUUAUCCAAAUGUAAAAGCAUAUAUUGUACAGUACUAUAUUUCUUCAUCAGCAUCUUUAUGCUUUCGUUAAUAAAAUCAUGAUAAAAAUACUCUUUCAAAAUGUCUAUGUUUACAGUGCCUUGCGAAAGUAUUCGGCCCUCUUGAACUUUGCGACCUUUUGCCACAUUUCAGGCUUCAAACAUAAAGAUAUAAAACUGUAUUUUUUUGUGAAGAAUCAACAACAAGUGGGACACAAUCAUGAAGUGGAACGACAUUUAUUGGAUAUUUCAAACUUUUUUAACAAAUCAAAAACUGAAAAAUAGGGCGUGCAAAAUUAUUCAGCUCCCUUAAGUUAAUACUUUGUAGCGCCACCUUUUGCUGCGAUUACAGCUGUAAGUCGCUUGGGGUAUGUCUCUAUCAGUUUUGCACAUCGAGAGACUGAAUUUUUUCCCAUUCCUCCUUGCAAAACAGCUCGAGCUCAGUGAGGUUGGAUGGAGAGCAUUUGUGAACAGCAGUUUUCAGUUCUUUCCACAGAUUCUCGAUUGGAUUCAGGUCUGGACUUUGACUUGGUCAUUCUAACACCUGGAUAUGUUUAUUUUUGAACCAUUCCAUUGUAGAUUUUGCUUUAUGUUUUGGAUCAUUGUCUUGUUGGAAGACAAAUCUCCGUCCCAGUCUCAGGUCUUUUGCAGACUCCAUCAGGUUUUCUUCCAGAAUGGUCCUGUAUUUGGCUCCAUCCAUCUUCCCAUCAAUUUUAACCAUCUUCCCUGUCCCUGCUGAAGAAAAGCAGGCCCAAACCAUGAUGCUGCCACCACCAUGUUUGACAGUGGNNNNNNNNNNACUAAAUAGCUUGUUGCUAAUUUGCUGGUUAGCUUCUGAUGGCUAGGUGGUUCUUGCUAUAAGGUCAACAUUUUUUAAAUAAUAGCAGUUCCGUAUCACAUUGGGUGAGGCGGGUUACCUGAAGGUAUAAUUGAAUUAAAAUGGAAAAGAUAUUGAAAAUAAAAUUGAAAUAUAUACAAAAAAAGAUGAAAAAUAUUUACUAUUAUGAAUUGAUGUAUUUUAUUAUUAUUUUUCUUUUUUUCACUCUUUAUGUGAUGCGCAAUGCAGAG
rnacentral:lncRNA from 13 species